rnacentral:rRNA from 1 species
CACGUAGGGCGCAAGCGUUGUCCGGAAUUAUUGGGCGUAAAGAGCUCGUAGGCGGUUUGGUAAGUCGGGUGUGAAAUCUCCACGCUCAACGUGGAGGGGCCACUCGAUACUGCCAUACUCGAGUCCGGUGAGAGGAGUGUGGAAUUCCCGGUGUAGCGGUGAAAUGCGCAGAGAUCAGGAGGAAUACCGAUGGCGAAGGCAGGUCCCUGGCUGACACUGACGCUCAUGCACGAAGCGUGGGGAGCAACAGG